rnacentral:misc_RNA from 1 species
CCUUUCUACGGAGAAUUCAGGUCGGUGUUUGCCGGCCGGUGUCGGACGCUGCCCGAUGUUCGGGUGGUUUGUCCUGCUGGUGUGGAAACAGUCAUGGAUGUUCUUCUUGUGGUAUGGGCAUGCUUUUGGGUUCCCGGAUCGUCACCCCGUCCUUCGGGGCGGUGCGGUCUGUGCCCUUCCGGUUGCGGUGGUCUUGGUUGGCUGUGCGUGGCUGGUUGGUGUGCGGUGGUUUGAGAACUGGAUAGUGGACGCGAGCAGGAACGGUUGAGGCCGUUCUUGUUUAGUGAUGCAAUUUUUAAUGGCUGGGCCCUGUUUCUAAAGGGGGUCCGGUCGAUCGUUUUGUGAUCAUUUUGUGCGAUAGUAAUAGUGUUGUCUGGUGUUUUUCGUAUGUAGGUCCUGUGGCGUGCAUUCCUUUGUGUUUGUGUGGGGUG